CCCGAAACCAAACGAGCUAUUUUUGGGCAGCUGUUAAUCUAGAGCACACCCGUCCCUGUAGCAAAAGGGUGGGAAGACCUAAAAAUAGAGGCAAAAAGCCAAUCGAGCUUGGUGAUAGCUGG